GGGGCUGUCACAUGUGGCGGGGAUGUGAACGCAGACAAAUCAGCAGCAAACAUCGGCAAACUCUGCAAGGCUGAGUCUCAGACUCUCACGUCACCUAGCAAACAGAUCUUUAAGGAAGCUUUGGCCUCCUCUGUGAACAAAUAAAGAAAAAAUAUAAAACACUGUUGAGGACCGUUCUCCAGACAUAGACAACUGUUCUGAAGAUGAUGAUGAUGACAGUUAUUCUUCAGAGCAGGAGACCAGUGAUGAUGCCGUUCAUGGUCAGGACCUUUAUGAUGAGGAUGAUGACAUUCAACGAAAGCCAAAAAAGAUGAUUAUAUCCACAUCUAUGACCCGGAUGAUGAUAAGAAGUCCCUUUUCACAGUCACACUGACCUAGCAGGAAGAGAGAGCCUCAGCAUUCAUUACAGACUUAAACCAUCGAUUAUUCUCUACUUUCUCUAUCAGAAAAGGGUGGAGAUGUGUUAACAGUGGAUAAGAACAGAUAUUCAGACGAGUCUACGGCGCUGGACUCUACAGCUGUGGAGCAGACGGGUGGGGGGGCUGUCACAUGUGACGGGGAUGUGAACGCAGACAAAUCAGCAGCAAACUAGUCGACUCUCAGGUCACCUAGACUGCUGUGGUAUCGGAUUUAUUAAAGUACCUUAAAUUUAAAGAAACCCAAGAUAAACUAAAAAAGCUGAGGGCAUCAAACCCCAAGAUUCGUAUGAAGAGUCAUCUGGACAUCCCACAGCACCAGAGGCAGCCGUGCAGGAUCCGGAGGCUUGCACCUCACAGGGUACGGACAGCGUAUCCCCCCUCAGCCUCCUGACCAUCUGCUCCAAGUUCCGACACAUCUCAAGAGGACAUUCUUCAGCUUCCCCAUCUAUGACUCGACGGAAGAUCUGCCACAAUUUCUGGACUUCCAAGAUCUCCUGGAUUUGGAUUGAAUGUGCCAUAUAUAGUAGGCUAUAGUUUGUUGUCAUUGCACUUUAUAUUUGGGAAACACUUACAGUUCAGUUUUUUUACACUGUUCUUAUUUAUUAAGUUCUUUUAAGUUUUUUUCACGAUUUAGAUAUUUAUAACCUAUAUUUUUUAAAUGUGUGUGUGUGUGUGUGUGUGUAUAUAGUUUGUUGUCAUUGCACUUUAUAUUUACAGUUGAGUUUUUUAUACACUGUUUAUUUUUUUAAGUUUUUGCCUGUAUUGUAUUGUUGUAAUUGCUAUUUAAAAAAUAUUUUAUAACCAUUAAAAUGUGUGGAUUUGUUCGUUUUCUAACUUAUACAUUUUAAGCUUUUGUCGCAGUUAAAUAAAUAUGUAUAAAAGUACAGCCUUUUGUUUAAUUAUAGCCUAUUAGUUUAGUCAUUCGUUUUAGGAUUUAGGACCAUCAGUAGAUUGUUUUAUUACUGUUUAUCUUAAAAUCGAAUACUAUGAGAGUAAAUCAGUUGUUGCUCUUUUAAAAUAAUAAAACAAAUAAUAGUCGAUAAUGGAAGAGCCGCAUGGUUGAAAAACGAGCAAAGCAAAUGUUUGAUUAUUUAGACUUCAUUAAUAUAGGAACAUGUGGAAUAAAGAUUUGUAAAGAAAGUGUAUUUGCCAGUGCAUUUGUCCAACCUCUAGUCUGCGUCAUCCUCAC